ACGUGGCGCGUGCCGGCACGUGUCCGCCAUCCCGGGGAGCCGACAGAGGCCCCUCCCUUCCCGCGGCUCCGGCGCCGAAAGAGGAACGUUCGGUCCCCACCGAAAGUCGCUCGCAUCCUCCGGAAGAGAUGGAAACGUUAAUCUUCCCAGACCGAGACGGUGCGGUCCGUAAGGGACCUUACAUCACCGGGAGCCGGAAGAGGAUCGAUCGAGCACCACCCGUGAGCGGAACGCCGCCCUAAGCCCUCGGAGGCUACGCAGAAGGAAAGGGGCGGUUCCCGCCCCUGAGAAUCGUACAGCCUAACGGGGCAGCCGCCCGGACGCAGGUCGAUGAAUCAGCAAACGAGAAAGAUGAAUUAGCAAAUGAGAAGGCUGUGGGCCUAGACGAUAAACGCUGCUGGACAGAGGAAAGGCUACGGGCCCAGAUGAUAAACGCCGUCGGACGGAUGAAUCGUUCACGGAGAAGAGGGGUCCCGUCGAGGAUGACGGGCAGAUGUCGACAGCAGAACUCGGGUCCUCCGACUCUCGGGCCUCUGCUCUUUCACUAGACCGUGCCGCUUCUUUCUCUUCAGAUGGGCCCAGGGGAGUGACGACAGCCCCGCGGGCCCCCCCCGGACACUUUCUCUCCCGGGGGGGCAGCGUCCCCCUUUAGCCAAGGUCCUUUCCUUGAAUGCCUGCCCCCCAAAUGCCAACAUUAUCAUUACUAGGUUCACCAAUUACUCCCUCACCACCCCCGCCUGCCAUUCCCCCAGGGAGCGAUCUGUUUCCGCACUCACAUGGAACAUGGAUUUCCAUCCAUGUUCUCGCUCUUCACCUCUGGCCGGCCACUCCCCGACUUCCCCUCCUUCCCGCCAUGAGCUCCCGAGGACAGGAAUCCCAUCUCACUCCUUGGCGGGCUCGCCAAGUUGCUAGAACGGCACCGGGCCGUCCGUCGACCGUAUUUAUUGGGCGUCGCGCGCAGGACGCUGCGAGAGUACGACAAUCUGACAGGCACCUGCCCGGCCCACAGUGAGCCGACGGUUUAGAGGGGGAGGCUGAAUUGAUACGGAAUUAGAGAUGAGUACCUAAGUGCCGUGGGGGCGGAGGGAGAGGGAAUAGAGGAGCAAGUCAGGGUGACGCAGAAGGGAGUGGGCAAAUGAGGGUUGAGUCGGGAAAGGCCUCGGGAAGGCAGUCGGCGGGCACCCCGAUCAACCCAGAGGCCGCUGAUGUCGACAGAGGAUGUUUCCCCGCGCUGUUCUUGCUUGUGGCUGGAUGUUCCCGCCCUCAAAAAUGGCCCUGGCAGGGAGGCAGCUGGGAGCUGGCCCGAUUCUCUCGCCCGCCUCCUUCCCCUUCCCUGGAGAGGCGGGAGUGUGGCCCAAGAGAGGGUGGGGAACCCCCGCCCCUUCCGAGCGGCCCCUGGGCUUCGAGGAUCGAGGGCGAUAGUUCCGAGAGGGAAAACCCGAACUGAAAGGCGACCGUAUCUCCUUUGAGAUUGUGAGGAUCCCAACAUCACAACUCCGCGCCCCCCCAGCAAAAAACAAAAUAUUUCCCGAUAGAAAUGGGAAUAGCCUGGCCCCAGCUCGCUCCCAUUACGCCCCUUAAAUAUAAAUGACGGCAAAUUCUUUCAAACAAGGAAGUUCUCCGGUGGACUAAUUAGAUUGGGAUUUUUUAAAUAAAAACUCAAUCUGUGACUUAA